UCGGGAAUAUUGCGCAAUGGAGGAAACUCUGACGCAGUGACGCCGCGUGCAGGAAGAAGGUUUUCGGAUUGUAAACUGCUUUAGACAGGGAAGAAACAAGACAGUACCUGUAGAAUAAGCUCCGGCUAACUACGUGCCAGCAGCCGCGGUAAUACGUAGGGAGCGAGCGUUAUCCGGAUUUAUUGGGUGUAAAGGGUGCGUAGACGGGAGAAUAAGUUAGUUGUGAAAUCCCUCGGCUUAACUGAGGAACUGCAACUAAAACUAUUUUUCUUGAGUACUGGAGAGGAAAGUGGAAUUCCUAGUGUAGCGGUGAAAUGCGUAGAUAUUAGGAGGAACACCAGUGGCGAAGGCGACUUUCUGGACAGAAACUGACGUUGAGGCACGAAAGUGUGGGGAGCAAACA
rnacentral:rRNA from 1 species